rnacentral:tRNA from 1 species
AAAUAAGAAGCAACCCUUGCAUUUAGUUUCGACCUAAAAGUAUGAUCAAAAGAUCCUUAUUUAU